GGCCCCGUAGCUCAGCUGGAUAGAGCGAGCGAUUCCUAAUCGCUAGGUCGAGAGUUCGAGUCUCCCCGGGGUCA
rnacentral:tRNA from 1 species